AUGAGAAAGGCUGUAAAUCGGGGAUACGAGGAAUGGGUGCCACGUGCCACCAAGGCAACUGUUCUGUCCUCAAUCAAGUGUCCAGUGCCCAAGAGAUGCCCAUAUACUGACAAGAAGGUGGUUGAAACAUUUUAGGAAAAAGUUACAGAUGUGACAGACACAAUAAUAAACAAAGACAAACAAGGAAUUUUACUAAUUCUUCAACUAACGAAGGAAUACCUCAAGCGUCCAAGUUGGUUCAGCAAAAAAAAGAGCCAUCAGAUCUACCCCUCCGGUGCAGCAUCAGCAAGACCAAACAGAAGCAGAAAGUGCUUCGUGUGCUCUUCUUUGCACUAGUCCUGUGAAGUGUGCAAAUAUUCAUACAGUUGAAUAUUUGCCAGUCCAGAACAUUUACCAGCGGACUCCGUUUUGAUAGCACAGUACCUGUGGGUAAGUCUGUAAGAGAAGAGAGGUCCCUGAAGAUGUCUAUUCCCAGGCAGUUCUGCCCAUCACACACAGCAUAAGACCUCAGGAGUCUUAAU
rnacentral:lncRNA from 1 species